rnacentral:lncRNA from 1 species
CGAGGCGACGAUGUGGCGCCCAGCACAGGUGCAGAGGCAGCGCUGCCAGCAGCCUGGGUCCCCAGAGCAGCCGGGAAGGUGGCAAGACCUUGUUUAAAAAGUAGCUGCAUGGGCCAAAAAGAGAAGCAAACAACCAAGCAGUGUCAGAAGUUCCAAAUCCCCUGCCACGUUUUGCUGCUGCUUGCGCAGUUGAAGAGAAGGAAAAGCAAGGAGAAAAUUUGUGAAUAAGAAAUGUCACUUAGACCUGAAUGGAAGAGAUUUGGCAAAAAAUAUAGCAUGUGUCGUCAUCUUCAGGUGAUGCAGCACUUCCAGAAAAGACAAUCACAGAGGGCUGCUAGGCAAUUUGAAGAUGUCCGUGGGGAGAUGGUAUCAAAGACACUGCGAGCUCUAAAAUUAACAUCAAAAAUGAUGUAUCCAGAAGAAAGACUUUGUACCUACAACUGCUUUCACAGCUGCAAACCUUUUCUUUUAGAACAUUUUGUGUAUCUCAUGGCUAUGUUGUUUACAGCUUUUCUGCAAGUUUUUGUUUUUCCCCAUGGAAGCAACUGAAAAAAAAAAAACCCUUAAGUGUGCAUAUCUGUUCAAGUCUGGUUGGAUGUUACCCAGAAGCUGCUGGGUAAUGGGUUUUUGAGCCUAUGCAGUAAUUGUAACUCAUCACCAGUAUGUUAUGCAAGAUUGUGCAAAUAAUGGUUCCAUUUGAAGAAUUAUAGAAUUAUCCAAUCUUGUCAUCACUAAGUAAAAUUCUAAUUCAAAAUGCUGCAGUGAAUGGUAGCCCAG